CUACGGGAUGCACCAGUGAGGAAUAUUGCACAAUGGGGGGAACCCUGAUGCAGCAACGCCGCGUGGAGGAUGACGCAUUUCGGUGUGUAAACUCCUUUUAUAUGUCAAGAAAAUGACGGUAGCAUAUGAAUAAGCACCGGCUAACUCCGUGCCAGCAGCCGCGGUAAUACGGAGGGUGCAAGCGUUACUCGGAGUCACUGGGCGUAAAGGACGCGUAGGCGGGUUGGAAAGUCAGGUGUGAAAUCCUACAGCUUAACUGUAGAACUGCACUUGAAACUUCUAAUCUAGAGUAUGGGAGGGGGAGAUGGAAUUAGUGGUGUAGGGGUAAUAUCCGUAGAUAUCACUAGGAAUACCUAAAGCGAAGGCGAUCUCCUGGAACAUUACUGACGCUAAGGCGUGAAAGCGUGGGGAGCAAACAGGAUUAGAUACCCUUGUAGUC
rnacentral:rRNA from 1 species